GUAAUGUCUGGGAAACUGCCUGAUGGAGGGGGAUAACUACUGGAAACGGUGGCUAAUACCGCAUAACGUCGCAAGACCAAAGAGGGGGACCUUCGGGCCUCUUGCCAUCAGAUGUGCCCAGAUGGGAUUAGCUUGUUGGUGAGGUAACGGCUCACCAAGGCGACGAUCCCUAGCUGGUCUGAGAGGAUGACCAGCCACACUGGAACUGAGACACGGUCCAGACUCCUACGGGAGGCAGCAGUGGGGAAUAUUGCACAAUGGGCGCAAGCCUGAUGCAGCCAUGCCGCGUGUAUGAAGAAGGCCUUCGGGUUGUAAAGUACUUUCAGCGGGGAGGAAGGUGUUGUGGUUAAUAACCGCAGCAAUUGACGUUACCCGCAGAAGAAGCACCGGCUAACUCCGUGCCAGCAGCCGCGGUAAUACGGAGGGUGCAAGCGUUAAUCGGAAUUACUGGGCGUAAAGCGCACGCAGGCGGUCUGUCAAGUCGGAUGUGAAAUCCCCGGGCUCAACCUGGGAACUGCAUUCGAAACUGGCAGGCUUGAGUCUUGUAGAGGGGGGUAGAAUUCCAGGUGUAGCGGUGAAAUGCGUAGAGAUCUGGAGGAAUACCGGUGGCGAAGGCGGCCCCCUGGACAAAGACUGACGCUCAGGUGCGAAAGCGUGGGGAGCAAACAGGAUUAGAUACCCUGGUAGUCCACGCCGUAAACGAUGUCUACUUGGAGGUUGUGCCCUUGAGGCGUGGCUUCCGGAGCUAACGCGUUAAGUAGACCGCCUGGGGAGUACGGCCGCAAGGUUAAAACUCAAAUGAAUUGACGGGGGCCCGCACAAGCGGUGGAGCAUGUGGUUUAAUUCGAUGCAACGCGAAGAACCUUACCUGGUCUUGACAUCCACAGAACUUUCCAGAGAUGGAUUGGUGCCUUCGGGAACUGUGAGACAGGUGCUGCAUGGCUGUCGUCAGCUCGUGUUGUGAAAUGUUGGGUUAAGUCCCGCAACGAGCGCAAC
rnacentral:rRNA from 1 species